rnacentral:rRNA from 1 species
UGGGGAAUAUUGGACAAUGGGCGAAAGCCUGAUCCAGCCAUGCCGCGUGUGUGAAGAAGGUCUUCGGAUUGUAAAGCACUUUAAGUUGGGAGGAAGGGCAGUAAGCGAAUACCUUGCUGUUUUGACGUUACCGACAGAAUAAGCACCGGCUAACUCUGUGCCAGCAGCCGCGGUAAUACAGAGGGUGCAAGCGUUAAUCGGAAUUACUGGGCGUAAAGCGCGCGUAGGUGGUUCGUUAAGUUGAAUGUGAAAGCCCCGGGCUCAACCUGGGAACUGCAUCCAAGGCUGGCGGGCUGGAGUAGGGCAGAGGGUGGUGGAAUUUCCUGUGUAGCGGUGAAAUGCGUAGGUAUAGGAAGGAACACCAGUGGCGAAGGCGACCACCUGGGCUCAUACUGACACUGAGGUGCGAAAGCGUGGGGAGCAAACAGG